rnacentral:rRNA from 1 species
UUAAAAUGGUAUUUUAAAAUUUAAAAUAAGUUUGUAUUUGGUAUUUAAUUAUCAAAAAAAUUAGAAUUUCAAUAAAUUUAAAUUCUUAGGAGGGUUGAUUUAUAUUCGGGUUUAAAUUAGUAUGUAAUAAAUUAGGAUAUAUUUUAAGAUAUCCCAGAAGAGCAGGGUAUUAGUAUAGAAUCGUAAAAAUGAUUUUUAAAUUUAAAAAUUUAAAUAUAAUUUCUGUCAAAUUUAAAGUAAAUAAGGAAAUAUGGUCAAGGAUUAAUUCUUUGUUGACUAAUACGAUGGAAACGUGUCAGUUAUAUGACGCCGAUAAAUUAAGAAGAUAGUACCUCGUCUUAAUUAGAAUAUAAUAU